rnacentral:piRNA from 1 species
UAGCCCAGAUGAGUCUCAGGUUUGAUGG